rnacentral:rRNA from 1 species
UACGGAGGGUGCAAGCGUUAUCCGGAUUCACUGGGUUUAAAGGGUGCGUAGGCGGGCAUUUAAGUCAGUGGUGAAAUACCUGAGCUUAACUUGGGAACUGCCAUUGAUACUAUUUGUCUUGAAUGUUGUGGAGGUCAGCGGAAUAUGUCAUGUAGCGGUGAAAUGACUUAGAUAUGACAUAGAACACCUAUUGCGAAGGCAGCUGGCUACGCAAAUAUUGAACGCUGAGGCACGAAAGCGUGGGGAUCAAACAGG